rnacentral:ncRNA from 1 species
GCUAAAGCAUUGAUAGGAAGUAGUACAUAUAAAUUUCUAGUUUUAGAGAGAAGAUGGUAGGUGAAAAUCUUUACAGAAUUAUAUGGAAGCAGUCCUAGAGUUUUUCUGCUGAAGGCUAAGGUUUAGGCAGAAACGGUUAAACCGUUAUAUUUGUGAGUGACCAUAUGGUAACCAGGGUGGUACCGCGGAGAAUACAGCUUCGUCCCUAUU